UGCAGUCGACGCGAAAGGGGAGCAAUCCCUGAGUAGAGUGGCAAACGGGUGAGUAACACGUGGGUGACCUGCCUCAGAGUGGGGGAUAACGUCCCGAAAGGGACGCUAAUACCGCAUAACAUCCUGCCUUUGGAAAGGUGGAGAUCAAAGCCGGGGAUCGCAAGACCUGGCGCUUGGAGAGGGGCCCGCGUCUGAUUAGCUAGUUGGUAGGGUAAUGGCCUACCAAGGCAACGAUCAGUAUCCGGCCUGAGAGGGCGGACGGACACACUGGGACUGAGACACGGCCCAGACUCCUACGGGAGGCAGCAGUGGGGAAUUGUUCGCAAUGGGCGCAAGCCUGACGACGCAACGCCGCGUGGAGGAUGAAGAUCUUCGGGUCGUAAACUCCUGUCGAGCGGGACGAACACCUAUCCAGCUAACAUCUGGACUGGCUGACGGUACCGCUAAAGGAAGCCCCGGCUAACUCCGUGCCAGCAGCCGCGGUAAUACGGGGGGGGCAAGCGUUGUUCGGAAUUACUGGGCGUAAAGGGCUCGUAGGCGGCCAACUAAGUCAGACGUGAAAUCCCCAGGCUCAACCUGGGAACUGCGUCUGAUACUGGAUGGCUUGAAUCCGGGAGAGGGAUGCAGAAUUCCAGGUGUAGCGGUGAAAUGCGUAGAUAUCUGGAGGAAUACCGGUGGCGAAGGCGGCAUCCUGGACCGGCAUUGACGCUGAGGAGCGAAAGCCAGGGGAGCAAACGGGAUUAGAUACCCCGGUAGUCCUGGCCCUAAACGAUGAAUGCUUGGUGUAACGGGUAUCGAUCCCUGUUGUGCCGAAGCUAACGCAUUAAGCAUUCCGCCUGGGGAGUACGGUCGCAAGGCUG
rnacentral:rRNA from 1 species